rnacentral:rRNA from 1 species
GACGAACGCUGGCGGCGUGCUUAACACAUGCAAGUCGAACGGAGUGGCGAACGGGUGAGUAACACGUGGGUGAUCUGCCUUGCACUUCGGGAUAAGCUUGGGAAACUGGGUCUAAUACCGGAUAGUGCAAGAUGAGCUCGGGGCCUAUAAGCUUGUUGGUGGGGUAAUGGCCUACCAAGGCGUCGACGGGUAGCCGGCCUGAGAGGGUGUACGGCCAAAUUGGGACGUGACUACGGCCCAGACUGCUACGUGAGGCAGCAGUGGGGAAUAUUGCACAAUGGGCGGAAGCCUGUUGCAGCGACGCCGCGUGGGGGAUGAAGGCCUUCGGGUUGUAAAUUCCUUUCGACAGGGACGCGGUACCUGCAUAAGAAGCACCGGCUAACUACGUGCCAGCAGCCGCGGUAAUUC